CUACUUCUGAGGAGCCCCACAAUAGGACGAAACGGCCGUCCAGUGC
rnacentral:hammerhead_ribozyme from 1 species